rnacentral:lncRNA from 1 species
AUGACAAACAGGUUGAUUUAUGCAGAGAAAAUUAUACAACAACAACCACAUCACCUGCAUUCUACUGACCGUCUUCGUGGCUUCAAUCUCACACUUCUUAGGAAAGAUGACAGUUCAUUAUGGUUGAUUCAAACUAAAACAAAGCCAAAUGGAAAUCUCUCAAGACCUCAAAGAAAAUGUGUUGUUUCCUCCAGGGUACCAGACUGGAAAUGAGGAGAAAUGAUAGAUAUGAACGAGUAAGAAUGAGAAACACAGAUGGAAAAUAAAAACAUUACCUUGCUGCAUUUGCAUAGUUAUAAUUUAUAUGAGCCCCCUUUAAACAAUGAUCUCAUAUCAGAAUCAACAGAAUACAAUCUCCAUGAAGGCCAGGAUAUUUGUCUCUUUGUUUUGUGAAUAUUGUUUUUCACCAAUGAAUCUCCAUGCCUUGAACAGUGGCUGGCAAGAGAAAAUAACGCAUAAAUGUUUGUUGAAUGAUUAAAUUAAUAAGUUCUGGUGGUCAGUAAACAUUUCAAAAUGUCCUUGUGCUGUGCUUUCUGCAACAGAGCUUGGAAGGGACUCAUCAAGGUACUUGUAGUCAAUGAUCAUUGUAAUCACUAUGUCUUUUGUCUGAAAUGGUCCUACUACUAAUGCAUUGUUUUCUCUACUUCAUGGUUAUUUCCGAUAGAAAAGCCAUCACUUUUAACAGAUUGUAAUACAAACACGUCAUGGAUAUGCUUCUUGGCGAUUCUUUUAAUAUUAUAAUGGCCGAUUUCUCAUGCCUUCUCACCUUAAUUUAAACCAGGCUUCUCACUAAUGGCCUCACAUUCCCUCCUCACUCCGUUGUGGGCCUCUUCUCUAACUACCACCUCACUCUGAAACCAAAGGAAGAAUCAACGCCUUCCUGCUCUUUUUUUUUUUUUUUUUUUGCCUUCCUGCUCUUUAUGAUACCUCCAGGUCAUUAUUAUAUUGUGACUGCCCUGAAGAAUAGCCAAACAAUUGUUAUAUCAGAGCCAUCUGCCAGUUGUAGCUCUAAAAAUUAAUUAAGGUACAGCAUCUGUCAAAAAUAUAUUGGUUUAAACCUAUGGCAACAUAGCAGUCUGAAGCCAUUUAUGACAAUCUGUGUGGGAAGCAUCCUCCUCUGGCAGAUCCAAUGCCACACAACACUCUUGUCAUGUCAGGUAAGCAAGCAGGAAAGCACAGCAAUGGAUGCUUGCUUUUGAAAGCAAUACUUGGCUUUAAGGAGCCUCAAAAUUCAUGCAUUUUUCUUGAAUUAAAUUCCCCAUUAAUUACUUAUCUACAAAAAGCAAUUGUCAUCAGAAUUGAUAUAAGCAAGUGAGAAGAUGCUACCCCAUGUCCCUUCUGCAUGCAGACUUUUCCCUUUUUCUUUUUUCCAUGUGGCUAUCUAAAACAUUGGAAAUACCGAAAUUUUUAAAUAUUUUACAGAAAUUGUGUGUGUGUGUAUCCAUAUGAUGAAAAUAUCAUUGAAAUAAA